UCAUGAUUCAAGGAGCUUAGAUUCACUCUUCACCUCCCUUGUUCUUCAUUUUUAACUUCAUCUGCAACCCCAUAUUUCUCCUUCUUCGCCCAGAAAAAAGGGAAAAUAGCACCACAACAGUACUGCCACCAUAAGAGGGGAGAGAGAGAGAGAAAGAGGAUAGGGAAAGCAUUGUUUUUUUUCUUCUUCUGAUCUAGUGCCUUCGCAUGUUUCGAUCUGGAUCAUUAUUUGAAUUUUGGGACUAUUAUUCCUCAUAAAGUUUCCACCUUUCAUAAUUUUUCAUCACCAAUUUUCGAUCUGUUUUUUCUAUGGGCUCUUGAUAUUGUUGUUAUAACAUAUUCCCCUUAAAUGGUUUCUUUCUCUCCUAGAUCUCUCUUAAUCUCUUUUAGUUACUAUUUAUUUUGUCUUGAAGCUAUUUUUUUUAUAUUUGGUUUAGUGUGAAAUAAGAUGAGAAAGAGAAGAUGAGGUUGAAAAGCAAGACUCAUGGUGCUUUGAUUCAUGGUUCAAGUUUCAGAAAUUAUUUAAGCUCAAAAAGAAAGAAAGAAAGAAAGAAAGAAAAGAAAUAGCGUUGGAGGUAGAAAAUGAAGGCCAAUAGAUCUAAUUUAAUUAUCAACAUGAUGUUUUUCUUGUAGUGAAAUUAUGAGCCAAUUUUCAUGAUUUUUUUUUU
rnacentral:lncRNA from 1 species